GACGAAGGAUGCAAGCGUUAUCCGGAUUCAUUGGGUUUAAAGGGAGCGUAGGUGGCCUUAUAAGUCAGUGGUGAAAUCUCUCAGCUUAACUGAGAAAUUGCCAUUGAUACUGUAGGGCUUGAGUACAGAUGCCGUUGGCGGAAUAUGACAUGUAGUGGUGAAAUACAUAGAUAUGACAUAGAACACCAAUUGCGAAGGCAGCUUACUACACAGUUAUUGACACUGAGGCACGAAAGCGUGGGGAUCAAACAGG
rnacentral:rRNA from 1 species